AGAUUGAACGCUGGCGGCAGGCCUAACACAUGCAAGUCGAGCGGUAGAGAGGUGCUUGCAUCUCUUGAGAGCGGCGGACGGGUGAGUAAUGCCUAGGAAUCUGCCUAGUGGUGGGGGAUAACGUUCGGAAACGGACGCUAAUACCGCAUACGUCCUACGGGAGAAAGCGGGGGACCUUCGGGCCUCGCGCCAUUAGAUGAGCCUAGGUCGGAUUAGCUAGUUGGUGAGGUAAUGGCUCACCAAGGCGACGAUCCGUAAACUGGUCUGAGAGGAUGAUCAGUCACACUGGAACUGAGACACGGUCCAGACUCCUACGGGAGCAGCAGUGGGGAAUAUU
rnacentral:rRNA from 1 species